rnacentral:rRNA from 1 species
ACAAUGCGGAACAAUGUUUUGCAAUUGGAUUGAGAACAACGUACAAACCUUAUCGAUAAACAAUUGGAGGGCAAGUCUGGUGCCAGCAGCCGCGGUAAUUCCAGCUCCAAUAGCGUAUAUUAACGUUGUUGCAGUUAAAAAGCUCGUAGUUGAAAUGAAGGGUAGUUGUGUAAUGAAUACAUUCGUGUAUUUUGUUAUUCUACUACCCUCCUUCUAAAUUCGAUAUAUGAGUAUUAAUUUACUUGUAUAUGGUUUUAGACGUUUACUGUGAGAAAAUUAGAGUGUUCAAAGCAGGCAUUUGCUUGAAUAUAUUAGCAUGGAAUAAUCAUGUAUGAUUUUCAUGAUGUAUUUGAUUGGUUUGGUUCAUGAGAAUAAGAUUAAAAGGGACAGUUGGGGGUAUUCAUAUUCAAUAGUCAGAGGUGAAAUUCUCGGAUUUAUGGAA